UAUUUAGGUGGCACUAUAGAAUACUCAAGCUAUGCAUCCAACGCGUUGGGAGCUCUCCCAUAUGGUCGACCUGCAGGCGGCCGCACUAGUGAUUCCUACGGGAGGCAGCAGUGGGGAAUCUUGCGCAAUGGGCGAAAGCCUGACGCAGCCAUGCCGCGUGAAUGAUGAAGGUCUUAGGAUUGUAAAAUUCUUUCACCGGGGACGAUAAUGACGGUACCCGGAGAAGAAGCCCCGGCUAACUUCGUGCCAGCAGCCGCGGUAAUAAUCCCGCGGCCAUGGCGGCCGGGAGCAUGCGACGUCGGGCCCAAUUCGCCCUAUAGUGGGUCGUAUUAA
rnacentral:rRNA from 1 species